rnacentral:rRNA from 1 species
UGGGGAAUAUUGGGCAAUGGGGGAAACCCUGACCCAGCGACGCCGCGUGAGGGAAGACGGCCUUCGGGUUGUAAACCUCUUUUGUACGGGAAGAAGGAAGUGACGGUACUGUACGAAUAAGUCCCGGCUAACUACGUGCCAGCAGCCGCGGUAAUACGUAGGGGACGAGCGUUGUCCGGAAUUACUGGGCGUAAAGGGCGCGCAGGCUGUGCUGCAAGUCAGCUGUGAGAUGUCUGGGCUUAACCCGGGCAUGCGGUUGAGACUGCAGUGCUGGAGUGCUGUAGAGGCAAGUGGAAUUCCCAGUGUAGCGGUGAAAUGCGUAGAUAUUGGGAAGAACACCGGUGGCGAAGGCGACUUGCUGGGCAGCAACUGACGCUGAGGCGCGAAAGCCAGGAGAGCAAACGG